rnacentral:rRNA from 1 species
CCUACGGGGGGCAGCAGUGGGGAAUAUUGGACAAUGGGCGAAAGCCUGAUCCAGCCAUGCCGCGUGUGUGAAGAAGGCCUUCGGGUUGUAAAGCACUUUCAGUGGGGAAGAAAGCCUUGGGGCUAAUACCCUCGAGGAAGGACAUCACCCACAGAAGAAGCACCGGCUAACUCCGUGCCAGCAGCCGCGGUAAUACGGAGGGUGCGAGCGUUAAUCGGAAUUACUGGGCGUAAAGCGCGCGUAGGCGGUCUGAUAAGCCGGUUGUGAAAGCCCCGGGCUCAACCUGGGAACGGCAUCCGGAACUGUCAGGCUGGAGUGCAGGGGAGGAAGGUAGAAUUCCCGGUGUAGCGGUGAAAUGCGUAGAGAUCGGGAGGAAUACCAGUGGCGAAGGCGGCCUUCUGGACUGACACUGACGCUGAGGUGCGAAAGCGUGGGUAGCAAACAGGAUUAGAGACCCUGGUAGGC